rnacentral:rRNA from 1 species
UUGGUGACCAGCGGAGGGAUCAUUACCGAGUUUACAACUCCCAAACCCAAUGUGAACCAUACCAAACUGUUGCCUCGGCGGGGUCACGCCCCGGGUGCGUCGCAGCCCCGGAACCAGGCGCCCGCCGGAGGGACCAACCAAACUCUUUUCUGUAGUCCCCUCGCGGACGUUAUUUCUUACAGCUCUGAGCAAAAAUUCAAAAUGAAUCAAAACUUUCAACAACGGAUCUCUUGGUUCUGGCAUCGAUGAAGAACGCAGCGAAAUGCGAUAAGUAAUGUGAAUUGCAGAAUUCAGUGAAUCAUCGAAUCUUUGAACGCACAUUGCGCCCGCCAGUAUUCUGGCGGGCAUGCCUGUCCGAGCGUCAUUUCAACCCUCGAACCCCUCCGGGGGGUCGGCGUUGGGGACCUCGGGAGCCCCUAAGACGGGAUCCCGGCCCCGAAAUACAGUGGCGGUCUCGCCGCAGCCUCUCCUGCGCAGUAGUUUGCACAACUCGCACCGGGAGCGCGGCGCGUCCACGUCCGUAAAACACCCAACUUUCUGAAAUGUUGACCUCGGAUCAGGUAGGAAUACCCGCUGAACUUAAGCAUAUCAAUA